GUCCCGCAACGAGCGCAACCCCUAUUGUUAGUUGCCAUCAUUCAGUUGGGCACUCUAGCGAGACUGCCGGUAAUAAACCGGAGGAAGGUGGGGAGUGACGUCAAAUCAUCAUGCCCCUUAUGACCUGGGCUACACACGUGCUACAAUGGUUGGUACAACGAGUUGCGAGUCGGUGACGGCGAGCUAAUCUCUUAAAGCCAAUCUCAGUUCGGAUUGUAGGCUGCAACUCGCCUACAUGAAGUCGGAAUCGCUAGUAAUCGCGGAUCAGCACGCCGCGGUGAAUACGUUCCCGGGCCUU
rnacentral:rRNA from 1 species